rnacentral:rRNA from 1 species
UACGUAGGGUCCGAGCGUUGUCCGGAAUUAUUGGGCGUAAAGGGCUCGUAGGCGGCCAACUAAGUCGGACGUGAAAUCCCCAGGCUCAACCUGGGAACUGCGUCCGAUACUGGAUGGCUUGAAUCCGGGAGAGGGAUGCAGAAUUCCAGGUGUAGCGGUGAAAUGCGUAGAUAUCUGGAGGAAUACCGGUGGCGAAGGCGGCAUCCUGGACCGGCAUUGACGCUGAGGAGCGAAAGCUAGGGGAGCAAACGGG